rnacentral:lncRNA from 13 species
UUUUGCAGGUGGUGGUGUAAACAGAAAAGAUCAUGGUGUGUCCUGGGCCAUGUCCUUCCUUAGUACCUCUCUCCCUUUCUCUAUGACAAAGGAGUGACAAGAGCAGAGGAGACUUGAAGCAUGUUAGUGCAAGAGAAUAUGGACCAGGAUGGGGAUGAUAUACCUGUACGGAGAACUUGGGAGGCAUUUUCAUAAGCUCAUUGUCAAGUGAAUGUUAAAGUCCCCAUUCACUGAGAAGCAAAGGGUGAAGAAGAGAGAACCUACAUGACUUUUUAGUGCAUGGAUGGAGCAGAGACACGUCUAUGAACCACUGCCUAUGCAAACUGAUUACUCGUCAGUAUAAU